rnacentral:rRNA from 1 species
GAUGAGCGCUGGCGGCGUGCCUAAUACAUGCAAGUCGAGCGAACAGACGAGGAGCUUGCUCCUCUGACAUUAGCGGCGGACGGGUGAGUAACACGUGGAUAACCUACCUAUAAGACUGGGAUAACUUCGGGAAACCGGAGCUAAUACCGGAUAAUAUAUUGAACCGCAUGGUUCAAUAGUGAAAGACGGCUUUGCUGUCACUUAUAGAUGGAUCCGCGCCGCAUUAGCUAGUUGGUAAGGUAACGGCUUACCAAGGCAACGAUGCGUAGCCGACCUGAGAGGGUGAUCGGCCACACUGGAACUGAGACACGGUCCAGACUCCUACGGGAGGCAGCAGUAGGGAAUCUUCCGCAAUGGGCGAAAGCCUGACGGAGCAACGCCGCGUGAGUGAUGAAGGUCUUCGGAUCGUAAAACUCUGUUAUUAGGGAAGAACAAAUGUGUAAGUAACUAUGCACGUCUUGACGGUACCUAAUCAGAAAGCCACGGCUAACUACGUG